rnacentral:rRNA from 1 species
ACUUAAAUUGAAGAGUUUGAUCAUGGCUCAGAUUGAACGCUGGCGGCAGGCCUAACACAUGCAAGUCGAGCGGUAGCACAGAGAGCUUGCUCUCGGGUGACGAGCGGCGGACGGGUGAGUAAUGUCUGGGAAACUGCCUGAUGGAGGGGGGUAACUACUGGAAACGGUAGCUAAUACCGCAUAACGUCGCAAGACCAAAGUGGGGGACCUUCGGGCCUCAUGCCAUCAGAUGUGCCCAGAUGGGAUUAGCUAGUAGGUGGG